UACGAAGGGGGCUAGCGUUGUUCGGAAUCACUGGGCGUAAAGCGCACGCAGGCGGAUUGAUAAGUCAGGGGUGAAAUCCCGGAGCUCAACUUCGGAAUUGCCUUUGAUACUGAGAGUCUUGAGUUCGGGAGAGGUGAGUGGAACUGCGAGUGUAGAGGUGAAAUUCGUAGAUAUUCGCAAGAACACCAGUGGCGAAGGCGGCUCACUGGCCCGAUACUGACGCUGAGGCACGAAAGCGUGGGGAGCAAACAGG
rnacentral:rRNA from 1 species